GAAAAUAACUGAAAUAAGCAUUUUUCUGUCCCGCGCAUCCCUUUGUUCCAAUAUUCAAACCAGUAGAAAGAUUAUUGAGCAAUGCGCAUGUGCGGGACAGAUUGAAUAGCUGACAUAUCGACCCAGG
rnacentral:precursor_RNA from 14 species